rnacentral:rRNA from 1 species
CAGUCGAGCGGACAGAUGGGAGCUUGCUCCCUGAUGUCAGCGGCGGACGGGUGAGUAACACGUGGGUAACCUGCCUGUAAGACUGGGAUAACUCCGGGAAACCGGGGCUAAUACCGGAUGCUUGAUUGAACCGCAUGGUUCAAUUAUAAAAGGUGGCUUUUACCUACCCCUUACAAAGGACCCCCCGCCCCAUUACCUAUUUGGGGAGGUACCGCCCCACCAGGGCAACAAUGCUUACCCAACCUGAAAGGGUGACCGCCCCCCCGGGAACUAAAACCCGCCCCAAACUCCUACGGAAGGCACCAGUAGGAAAUCUCCCCCAUGGAACAAAAUUCUAACGAACCACCCCCCCGUGAUUAAUAAAGGUUUUCGAAUCUAAAACCUCUGUUGUUAGGAAAAAAAAUUCCCGUUCAAAUAGGGCGGUCCCUUGACGGUCCCUAACAAAAAA